GGUGGAGGCGAGGGAGGAGGAGGAAGGAGAGGAGGAGGAGAAGGAGGAGGAGGGUGACCGAGGUUCUCCUUUGCACUCUCACACAGAGCCGCCUCCCUGGAGUCACCCGCCGCCUCUCGCCGCGCGCGCUUCCCUGCUCCGCGGACGCGACAUUGUUCUUGAAGACUCCCGGGACCUGUCAGAAAUCGGGGCUCCGGGACUUGAAAGAGACUUGACUUCGGCUCGCGGGUUGCGGGGACCGCGGUACUUUCGGGGCGCGUGUGAGGGGAUUAGCUCAUCUCGCCGCGAGGUGCGAGCGCGUGCCUCCCCGCGCACGCUGGCCCCGCCGCAGCCCCGCAGGAUGACGGGGUGCAGGCGGCCCGCGGCCGUGGCGCGGCCGC
rnacentral:lncRNA from 1 species